rnacentral:rRNA from 1 species
CACGUAGGGCGCGAGCGUUGUCCGGAAUUAUUGGGCGUAAAGAGCUCGUAGGCGGCCUGUUGCGUCCGCUGUGAAAGCCCGGGGCUUAACCCCGGGUCGGCAGUGGAUACGGGCAGGCUAGAGGUAGGUAGGGGAGAAUGGAAUUCCCGGUGUAGCGGUGAAAUGCGCAGAUAUCGGGAGGAACACCGGUGGCGAAGGCGGUUCGCUGGGCCUUACCUGACGCUGAGGAGCGAAAGCGUGGGGAGCGAACAGG